UCCCUGGUGGCUCAGAUGGUAAAGAAUCUGCCUGAAAUGCAGGAGACCCAGGUUCAAUCCCUGGGUCGGGAA
rnacentral:tRNA from 1 species